GAUGAACGCUAGCGGCAGGCUUAACACAUGCAAGUCGAGGGGUAUAGUUCUUCGGAACUAGAGGCCGGCGCACGGGUGCGUAACGCGUAUGCAAUCUACCUUUUGCAGAGGGAUAGCCCAGAGAAAUUUGGAUUAAUACCUCAUGUUAUGUGAGAAUGGCAUCAUUUUCACAUUAAAGUCACGACGGCAAAAGAUGAGCAUGCGUCCCAUUAGCUUUUUGGUAAGGUAACGGCUUACCAAGGCAACGAUGGGUAGGGGUCCUGGAGAGGGAGAUCCCCCACACUGGUACUGAGACACGGACCAGACUCCUACGGGAGGCAGCAGUGAGGAAUAUUGGACAAUGGGCGCAAGCCUGAUCCAGCCAUGCCGCGUGCAGGAUGACGGUCCUAUGGAUUGUAAACUGCUUUUGUACAGGAAGAAACACUGGUUCGUGAACCAGCUUGACGGUACUGUAAGAAUAAGGAUCGGCUAACUCCGUGCCAGCCGCCGCCGUAACAC
rnacentral:rRNA from 1 species